rnacentral:rRNA from 1 species
AACGAACGCUGGCGGCAGGCUUAACACAUGCAAGUCGAACGCCUGUAGCAAUACAGGAGUGGCAGACGGGUGAGUAACACGUGGGAACCUUCCUCGUAGUACGGAACAACUCAGGGAAGCUUGAGCUAAUACCGGAUAAGCCCUUAGGGGGAAAGAUUUAUCGCCGAAAGAGCGGCCCGCGUUAGAUUAGCUAGUUGGUGAGGUAAAGGCUCACCAAGGCUACGAUCUAUAGCUGGUCUGAGAGGAUGAUCAGCCACACUGGGACUGAGACACGGCCCAGACUCCUACGGGAGGCAGCAGUGGGGAAUCUUGCGCAAUGGGCGAAAGCCUGACGCAGCCAUGCCGCGUGAAUGAUGAAGGUCUUAGGAUUGUAAAAUUCUUUUACCAGGGACGAUAAUGACGGUACCUGGAGAAAAAGCCCCGGCUAACUUCGUGCCAGCCGCCGCAGUAAAAC